GUACUUUUUUUAGUAAGUAAGAACUGAGUGGUUUAGGGAUUGCCUUCUCAGUAAUCAGUGACUGGUGAGGGUUUUUUUUUGUUGUUUUUUUGUUGUUUUUUUGUUGGUUUUUUUUUUUUUUUUGGGUUUUUUUUUCUGAAAGUAUGACUAGAGAGCCCUUAGGUAUUCUCACUGCUGAAAUAUUUAUACCACAGGAAGACUGAAUUCCCAGUGAAAUGCAGUUGCAGCCAUUUUCUUUGAAAACACAGCUGGAGCCCUUUCAUGGGGAUAAUGAAGAGAGAAGUAAGGCACUGCUCAUUAGCUAUUACUGUGUGAAAGGACUCAGCCCACUGCCAAGAACCCCUGCCAUGCCACUCUACUGUGAGGCAUAGUGUAAGAAUUACAGCUUUCAGGUUCUCUACGCUGACUGAGAAAAAACCUGACCUCUGACCUCCACUUUCCAGAGGAACCUCCCCAUCACCCUUAUAUUUGGCCUAGACAAACAUUUAGCGCAACAGAUUUUUCUGGAGACUAAUCAAAACAAAUCCCUCUGGCCAAAGAACACAGGAUAUCUGUUUCAAUUGCUGACUUUUUCUGGACUUCAAUCUAAUGUUUUGUUCCAAGAUGGAUGAAAGCAAGGCAUUCUGUCACUAUAAGGGUUUCAGGUACAGUAUGUGGAGCAUGAUGUCUUACUGAAGUGUAUUUGCAAUUUUUUCUCUGCUCUCAUUUCUUUGUAUUUUAAAAUAUUUUAAAAGAGUGUCACGUAGGUAUGAAUUUAAAAAUAAGCAGUGUUCACAUAUGUUUUUACCAUGCCUAUGCAUCAG
rnacentral:lncRNA from 1 species